UACGGAGGGUGCGAGCGUUAAUCGGAAUUACUGGGCGUAAAGCGCACGCAGGCGGUUUGUUAAGCUAGAUGUGAAAGCCCCGGGCUCAACCUGGGAUGGUCAUUUAGAACUGGCAGACUAGAGUCUUGGAGAGGGGAGUGGAGUUCCAGGUGUAGCGGUGAAGUGCGUAGAUAUCUGGAGGAACAUCAGUGGCGAAGGCGACUCCCUGGCCAAAGACUGACGCUCAUGUGCGAAAGUGUGGGUAGCGAACAGG
rnacentral:rRNA from 1 species